rnacentral:lncRNA from 1 species
GCGGAGUAAACAAUGGCAGGGGCGGGGCUCGGCGCGGGGGUCCCGAGGCCGGAGCUGGGGAUCCCUGUCCCAGGCCUCUGGGAGAUGGGUCCGGACAAGGGAACUGAGCGAGCGGACGCCCGGGCGGCUCCCACGCGUGCACUUCCUGUCGCCGGCUGCGGGAGGAGAUGUCAAACACCUGCCUAGAACCUGGGAGUUUAGCAAAAUUGGCAAUGCACCUGCCGCUGACUUUGGACUGCCACCCCUACCCAAGCAAGCUGCUCCAGAAGAGCCGAUUUGACUCUUAAGGUCCAGGUCCAGUUCCCACCAGCCUUUCUACAGACAUACAGGGGUGAGUCUAGUUUGAGAACUCGAUUGUUCUCACACCGGAACCGGAACACAGAAGACUCCCUUAACCUUCUGCACACAUCGGGAAGGCAGGGCCAAUCUGAACCCCCGACAUGGGGAAGAUCACCAGGGGAUUACCCCUGCCUGGCUCCUGUCAGGUCUAGAGGCUCGAACCCAGGCCGGAGGAUGCUGGCGGCGGCCGUUGCCGGGCAACACGAUGUUU